UACGUAGGGGGCAAGCGUUGUCCGGAAUCAUUGGGCGUAAAGCGCGCGUAGGCGGCCCGAUAAGUCUGCUGUGAAAGUCAACGGCUCAACCGUUGAAAGCCGGUGGAUACUGUCGGGCUAGAGUUCGGAAGAGGCAAGUGGAAUUCCCGGUGUAGCGGUGGAAUGCGCAGAUAUCAGGAGGAACACCUAUAGCGAAGGCAGCUUGCUGGGACGAAACUGACGCUAAGGCUCGAAAGCGUGGGGAGCGAACAGG
rnacentral:rRNA from 1 species